AGAGUUUGAUCAUGGCUCAGGAUGAACGCUAGCGACAGGCUUAACACAUGCAAGUCGAGGGGCAGCGAGGGCGUAGCAAUACGCCUGUCGGCGACCGGCGCACUGGUGAGUAACACGUAUGCGACCUGCCCCCUACAGGGGUAUAACCCGUAGAAAUGCGGACUAAUCCCCCAUAGUCCCGCGGGCUGCAUGGCCUGCGGGGGAAAGGGUUUCCGGUAGGGGAUGGGCAUGCGGCGCAUUAGCUAGUUGGCGGGGCAACGGCCCACCAAGGCGACGAUGCGUAGGGGUUCUGAGGGGAAGACCCCCCACACUGGGACUGAGACACGGCCCAGACUCCUACGGGAGGCAGCAGUGAGGAAUAUUGGUCAAUGGGCGGAAGCCUGAACCAGCCAUGCCGCGUGAAGGACUAAGGCCCUAUGGGUCGUAAACUUCUUUAGACGCAGAGCAAUAAGGGUCUCGUGAGAUCCGAUGAGAGUAUGCGUAGAAUAAGCAUCGGCUAACUCCGUGCCAGCAGCCGCGGUAAUACGGGGGAUGCGAGCGUUAUCCGGAUUUAUUGGGUUUAAAGGGUGCGUAGGCGGAAGUGCAAGUCAGCGGUGAAAUCCCCGCGCUCAACGCGGGAGUUGCCGUUGAUACUGUACAUCUGGAAUGCUCUUGCCGUGGGAGGAAUGAGUAGUGUAGCGGUGAAAUGCAUAGAUAUUACUCAGAACACCGAUUGCGAAGGCAUCUCACGAAGGGGCGAUUGACGCUGAGGCACGAAAGCGUGGGUAUCGAACAGGAUUAGAUACCCUGGUAGUCCACGCAGUAAACGAUGAUGGCUAACUGUCGGGUUUUAGGAUUCGGCGGCCAAGCGAAAGCGAUAAGCCAUCCACCUGGGGAGUACGACCGCAAGGUUGAAACUCAAAGGAAUUGACGGGGGCCCGCACAAGCGGAGGAACAUGUGGUUUAAUUCGAAGCAACGCGAAGAACCUUACCAGGUCUUGACAUCGUGCGCAUAGUAUAGAGAUAUAUGAAGUCCUUCGGGACGCAUAGACAGGUGGUGCAUGGUUGUCGUCAGCUCGUGUCGUGAGAUGUCGGGUUAAGUCCCUCAACGAGCGCAACCCUUACGAUUAGUUGCUACGCAAGAGCACUCUAAUAGGACUGCCGUUGACAAAACGGAGGAAGGUGGGGAUGACGUCAAAUCAUCAUGCCCCUUAUGACCUGGGCUACACACGUACUACAAUGGUGAUCAACAGAGGGAAGCAAAACGGCGACGUGGAGCAAAUCCCUAAAAGUCAUCUCAGUUCGGAUCGCAGGCUGCAACCCGCCUGCGUGAAGUUGGAAUUGCUAGUAAUCGCAGAUCAGAAUGCUGCGGUGAAUACGUUCCCGGGCCUUGCACACACCGCCCCUAAGGGCGAAAU
rnacentral:rRNA from 1 species